GUUUCUCUUCUACUGUAAUUUGGUGCCGUGACUCAGAUGACAACGCUCGAUGACGGUCCGGAGCAGUCCAUCUCUCAGCGACCCUCAAGUGCAACCGCCUAGCCUCAGCAGGUCCCAAAAUCCAGGGCCACGGGAGAGCAUGGAUCCUACGCAACCUCAAAAGUUGCUGUCGAUUAACCAGCAGUGGAAACCCAUAGAGAUGCUGCAGAAGGUGAGGAAACCGACUGCCUGACCGAGGGGACCGAGCCAUCGCCCCCCACAUCCCCGGGAAUCCAGCGGAACCGCCUCUGCACAACCUCGUCUUCUGAACCGGUUCGCAGAGAUACUUCUGCUGCAUUCUCAGAGCGUCCCCGCAUCCGGGGGCCUCCUUGGGCCGGAGGUCUCCCACCCCCACGGAGGGACCGCAUGGCGGGACGGCGACCAGACAAGUGGCAUCCAGGCCUAAACCCAGCACUCCCUGUUUGGCAUCCCGGUCUUCUCCAGAAAGGUCAGUGAUCGCUCCCCUGGUGGGAUGGCAUGUACUGCUCUGUCAGGUAGAUUGAAUCGUGUCUGUUCCCCCCGACCCCACCCCCCGAAACAAAAGGCGGAACGCUCGCUUCUUCGUUCAGCCGAUUUCACUCAUCCGUAAGAAGUGCAUUCUGAAAAAAAAGCGCCUUAAAAAUACCCACAGUUCACAGUUAGGGAACGUGGAAUGUCAGAUUUCAUUCAUUCAGUCAGUCAUAUUUCUUGAGAGCCUACUGUGUUGGU